rnacentral:rRNA from 1 species
AGCAGCCGCGGUAAUUCCAGCUCCAAUAGCGUAUAUUAAAGUUGUUGCAGUUAAAAAGCUCGUAGUUGAAUUUCGGGGUUCUACCGUUGGUCGGGCUAUUGUCUGUACUGGCGUGUAGAAUUUCUACCUUCUGGGGAACUAUCAUGUUAUUAAUUUAGCGUGGUAGGAAACCAGGACCUUUACCUUGAAAAAAUUAGAGUGUUCAAAGCAGGCUUAUGUCUGAAUACAUUAGCAUGGAAUAAUAAAAUAGGACGGUGGUCCUGUUUUGUUGGUUUCUGAAUCACCGUAAUGAUUAAUAGGGAUAGUUGGGGGCAUUAGUAUUCAAUUGUCAGAGGUGAAAUUCUUGGAUUUAU